CUGGUGCAGCCAGCCUUUGCUCAGGAGAUGUUUAUGGUUGGCUCUGAGUUAACCCUUUGGAGUUUGUGUUCUCAGGGAGCUUGAUGUCCUUUCCUGCCCUUGUACAGGUGAUGCUCAGGCACAGAGACCACAGGCUGUGACUGAUCUUGUGACCUGUUUCAAAGUUUAAUUCCUAUAGAAUCAGAUAAAGCUAUGGAUCAGAUUGGAUCUGUAAAGCUUGACUGGAAGCAUGGGAUGAGCAAACAGCUCUGAAGACUGUAAACAUCACUCAGCCACCCAGAGCAGCAGGGAAAGUACUGCUGAUAAACAGAUUUCUCAGUAACAGGCUUCUCCUUAGACAUGGAUCAAGCCACAGAUGCUGCAGACUGUGCAGUUGCUUUGUGUCCAUCUUGAGAAGAGGGAGACAAAUUCCCCCCCCAAGAGCAGAAGGCAGGAUGUGGAUUGUGCAUGGUGUCUGGAGUCUUUACCAAAAACAGGGAGGUGGAACUUUUAGAACCUGAUCAGAGUAUUCCACUACAAAGCUCAUACUGGCAAUAGUGUGGGAGUACAGCCUACAUGACAACAGUAGGAGGGACCUGGUA